rnacentral:rRNA from 1 species
AACGAACGCUGGCGGCAGGCUUAACACAUGCAAGUCAAGCGCCCCGCAAGGGGAGCGGCAGACGGGUGAGUAACGCGUGGGAACGUACCCUUUGCUACGGAAUAGCUCCGGGAAACUGGAAUUAAUACCGUAUGUGCCCUACGGGGGAAAGAUUUAUCGGCAAAGGAUCGGCCCGCGUUGGAUUAGCUAGUUGGUGGGGUAAUGGCCUACCAAGGCGACGAUCCAUAGCUGGUCUGAGAGGAUGAUCAGCCACAUUGGGACUGAGGCACGGCCCAAAGUCCUACGGGAGGCAGCAGUGGGGAAUAUUGGACAAUGGGCGCAAGCCUGAUCCAGCCAUGCCGCGUGAGCGAUGAAGGCCUUAGGGUUGUAAAGCUCUUUCACCGGAGAAGAUAAUGACGGUAUCCGGAGAAGAAGCCCCGGCUAACUUCGUGCCAGCCGCCGCGGUAAUAC